rnacentral:rRNA from 1 species
GACGAGGGACCUAGCGUUGUUCGGAAUUAUUGGGCGUAAAGAGCUCGUAGGCGGUCUGUUGCGUCGGCUGUGAAAACCCGGGGCUCAACUCCGGGCCUGCAGCCGAUACGGGCAGACUAGAGUUCGGCAGGGGAGACUGGAAUUCCUGGUGUAGCGGUGAAAUGCGCAGAUAUCAGGAGGAACACCGGUGGCGAAGGCGGGUCUCUGGGCCGAUACUGACGCUGAGGAGCGAAAGCGUGGGGAGCGAACAGG